AACAGGGAUUGCCUUAGUAACGGCGAGUGAAGCGGCAACAGCUCAAAUUUGAAAGCUGGCCCUUUUAGGGUCCGCGUUGUAAUUUGUAGAGGAUGAUUCGGCGAGGGCUCCUGCCUAAGUCCCCUGGAACGGGGCGUCAUAGAGGGUGAGAAUCCCGUAUGCGGUAGGUUGCCUUAGCCAUGUGAAUCUCCUUCGACGAGUCGAGUUGUUUGGGAAUGCAGCUCUAAAUGGGAGGUAAAUUUCUUCUAAAGCUAAAUACUGGCCAGAGACCGAUAGCGCACAAGUAGAGUGAUCGAAAGAUGAAAAGCACUUUGGAAAGAGAGUUAAAAAGUACGUGAAAUUGUUGAAAGGGAAGCGCUUGCAACCAGACUUGUCCGCAGUUGCUCAGCCGGUCUCCUGACCGGCGUACUCUUCUGCGGCCAGGCCAGCAUCAGUUCGGGCGGUCGGAUAAAGGCCUCGGGAAUGUAGCUCCUCUCGGGGAGUGUUAUAGCCCGGGGUGGAAUGCGACCAGCCUGGACUGAGGAUCUCGCUUCGGCAAGGAUGCUGGCGUAAUGGUUGUAAGCGGCCCGUCUUGAAACACGGACCAAGGAGUCUAACAUCUAUGCGAGUGUUCGGGUGUCAAACCCGUACGCGUAAUGAAAGUGAACGGAGGUGGGAACCCGCAAGGGUGCACCAUCGGCCGAUCCUGAUGUCUUCGGAUGGAUUUGAGCAAGAGCAUAGCUGUUGGGACCCGAAAGAUGGUGAACUAUGCCUGAAUAGGGUGAAGCCAGAGGAAACUCUGGUGGAGGCUCGCAGCGGUUCUGACGUGCAAAUCGAUCGUCAAAUUUGGGUAUAGGGGCGAAAGACUAAUCGAACCAUCUAGUAGCU
rnacentral:rRNA from 1 species